rnacentral:misc_RNA from 1 species
AAGUCGUAACAAGGUUUCCGUAGGUGAACCUGCGGAAGGAUCAUUAUCGAGUUUUGAAGUGGGGUCUCUUGAGCUGGCAUUGCAGGUGCUUGGAGAUCCCCCACUCUCAUCCACUCAACCCCUGUGCACCUUGAACGAAAGUUGGUUGCCGGACCUCCCUCUUCGAGGGAGCAGCCUUCUAUGAGGCCGGGUCUGUCCGACUGACUUCGUUUAUUACAAACUCUUAUGAUGUCUUGUAGAAUGCAUUGCCUCUUUGUGGGCGAAAUGUAAUACAACUUUCAACAACGGAUCUCUUGGCUCUC